GCCAGGUGUGGUGGUGCAUGCCUGUAGUCCCAGCUACUUGGGAGACUGAGACAGGAGGACUGCUUGAGCCCAGGAGUUGGAGGCUGCAGUGAGCUGUGAUUGCACCAUUGCAUCCCAGCCUGGGCAACAAAGUGAGACCCUGUCUCUU
rnacentral:sRNA from 1 species